GGAAUAUCCCGGUCUACUAGGGGAAUAUCCCUGUGGAUCCUGGUCUACUUGAGGAAUAUCCCUGUGGAUCCCGGUCUACUAGGGGAAUAUCCCUGUGGAUCCCGGUCUACUUGGGGAAUAUCCCUGUGGAUAUCGGUCUACUAGGGGAAUAUCCCUGUGGAUCCUGGUCUACUAGGGGAAUAUCCCUGUGGAUCCCGGUCUACUAGGGGAAUAUCCCUGUGGAUCCCGGUCUACUAGGGGAAUAUCCCUGUGGAUCCCGGUCUACUAGGGGAAUAUCCCGGGCUACUAGGGGAAUAUCCCUGUGGAUCCCGGUCUUCUAGGGGAAUAUCCCUGUGGAUCCCGGUCUAAAGUAGUGCAUUUUAUCAAGAAUUUGAUGCCAUUUCGAUGGCAAGCAGUGUUAUGCUUUUUAAUAUUGUUUGCGACACAUGGGCCUGAGAGGAAUAUUUACCGCCUCGUAUCCAAAUGUGUGAACAGACAAACAAACGCUGCUCGGUAUGUCAACAAACAGCAACAAACAAACAAAAGAAAUGUAAUGUAUUUUAUGCAUGUUAUAGGAAUAGGUUGGAUGUUACCCAUAGGAAGUGGCUACAAAGAGCAAAUGGGGAAAUUAUUCAAUGAAAGCUUUCUAUCUUUGAUGAGCUUAUAGUUAGGUCACCUACCUAAACACUGUCUUGUAGCCCUGAGACGCGACGCAGAGCUAUUGGUUCAACUAUCUACUGGUGCCUCUGGUCGUCUUGGUUUUUUUGUUGUUGAGUUUCCCCUUCAAUAAAGGUAAAUCAUAAACACUUUCUAGGUUCUUAUCCAUUUUAUUGUUGGCUACUGUAAAUGUUCUACGUACUUGUGUUUUGAUCUGUUGAGUUUAUAAUGUAGUGAUUAAAGGGUAGGUCCAGGAUUCUGUGCAAUAAAGGUUCAGACCUCUUGGCACUCUGUUUUGGGGGCCACGGGUGGAAAAGAAGACUACCGGGAUACUAUGAUAGUGGCAGCAUAUUGAGUUGGAUAAAGUAAUGGUUAUGGCUGUUUUAACGUACUGUAUAUUAAUGACUUUUAAAAAAAAUCAAUAGUUGUAUUCUUUUAUCAAUAAUUACAUUUUUCAUAUAAAAAAAUAUUAUCAAUGAUUUGAAUUUUUGAAAAGUGAUAAUUUCAUUUUUUAUAUAAAAAAAUCAAAUAAUGACCAUGGGGUGGGAUUGCAUUUGCAUGCUCCUUCCUACAUACAGUGACUCGAAAGUCUACACCCACCUUGCACAGCCUUCACAUUUUUCUGCCUUAAAAUACACGAGACAAUUAUUGAUAUAAAAAAAUAUAUUAUUGAUAUAAAAAAAUAUUUGUUUAUAAACACAAAUUAGAAUUAUUAAUAUAUUUUUUUAAACAUUUUGUAUCAAGCUAUUUUUUAUAUAUAUUUUUUUUUUAAUGAUUUAUAUCAAUAAUGUCAUUAUCAAUGUCAUUUUUUUUCCAUUAUCGAUAUCAAAAAUGUCAUUAUCAUUACCGAGAAUUGUGCGACAAACAAAAAACAUCCAGCUAGAAAGCGGGCCACAAACAGGCAAGUAACAGAACAACAGUGGUGCGCAGAACGGCAUCUCGGAAACACACAACUCCUCGAUCCUUGUCACGGAUUGGCUAUUGCAGCAGACGGCCACACCGGGUUCUACUCCUAUCGGCUAAAAACAAGAAGUGGCUCCAGUGGGCACAAUUGAGGAGUGGAAAAGCAUUGCCUGGUAUGAUGAAUAACGGUUUUUGUUGCAUCGUGCUGAUGUCAGAGUUAGGAUUUGGCGAAAGAAGCAUGAGUUCAUGGACCUAUCUUGCCCGGUGACAACGGUACAGGCUGGUGACGGGGGUGUAAAGGUUUGGGGAAUGUUUUCCUGGCACAUGUUAGGUCCCUUGAUACCAAUUGAGUAACGUUUCCAUGCCUGGAGGGAAUUCAGGCUGUUCUGGAGGCAAAGUGGGGGGUUGGCCCGACUAGAUGGGUGUGCCUAAUAAACUGUGUAUAUAUUAAAAACAGCUUUACACAAUUGUUUCAUACAAUUUUCUAUUUUGACUGGAAUUGUGUUUGGCAUUGUUAAUAAAUACAGCAUUUAUUUUGAGUUCAAAAUAGUUUAGAAAAAUACUUUUCUCAUCAGAUAGUGCUACUUUCCCCUCUUCUUGUAAGAAGAGGCUGGGACCAGGGUGGCAGGAAAUAUUUAUUUGGUGUCACAUCCCUGGUAGUAUCAAUAUCACAUCCCUGGUAGUAUCAAUAUCCCAUCCCUGAUAGUGUCAAUAUCCCAUCCCUGGUAGUAUCAAUAUCCCAUCC
rnacentral:lncRNA from 13 species